UACGUGAGGGGGCUAGCGUUGUCCGGAAUCAUUGGGCGUAAAGCGCGUGUAGGCGGCCCGGUAAGUCCGCUGUGAAAGUCGGGGGGCUCAACCUCGGGCUUGCAGUGGAUACGGGCAGACUAGAGUGCGGUAGGGGAGGACUGGAAUUCCUGGUGUAGCGGUGGAAUGCGCAGAUAUCAGGAGGAACACCGAUGGCGAAGGCAGGUCUCUGGGCCGCAACUGACGCUGAGGAGCGAAAGCAUGGGGAGCGAACAGG
rnacentral:rRNA from 1 species